rnacentral:rRNA from 1 species
AUUGAACGCUGGCGGUAUGCUUAACACAUGCAAGUUGAACGGCAGCAUUAUCUAGCUUGCUAGAUAGAUGGCAAGUGGCGGACGGGUGAGUAACACGUAGGAAUAUGCCCUAAAGUGGGGGAUAACCUGGGGAAACCCAGGCUAAUACCGCAUAAACUCUAAGGAGCAAAGCUGGGGACCUUCGGGCCUGGCGCUUUAGGAUUAGCCUGCGUCCGAUUAGCUAGUUGGUAGGGUAAGAGCCUACCAAGGCGACGAUCGGUAGCUGGUCUGAGAGGAUGAUCAGCCACACUGGGACUGAGACACGGCCCAG